GGGCGACACGGCUUCGACGGGGCUCGUCCAAGGCACCGGUUGCGCGUCGCGGACGCAGUUGGCCGCGUCAUCAAACUGCAACGCCUUAACUGGCAACCAGAACUACGCCCUGGCUGCGUAACCGCAGCUAGCGUCCCCUGGAAACCCCGCCGGUGGUUCGCCAGGCCCGACGUCCCAAAACCGGCGCGUCCGACGGGCACCGUCACCUACCAAAGGACGCUAACCUUGGGUGACUAGGCGCUUGGAUUGGUGGGUCUCCAGCCUGUCCUCGUCGCCGAAUUUCAAUCGGAGACUACGCGCGUAGACGCCGGGCCAAGGGGGCUUCGGACGCGGGUUCGACUCCCGCCGCCUCCACCA
rnacentral:tmRNA from 1 species